rnacentral:SRP_RNA from 1 species
GCUGGGUGUGGUGGCGCAUGCCUGUAAUCCUAGCUACUCGGGAGGCUGAGGCAGGAGAAUUGCUUGAACCCAGGAGGCAGAGGUUGCAGUAAGCUGAGAUUGCACCACUGCACUCCAGCCUGGGUGACAGAGCAAGACUCUGUCUCAA